AGCAGUGGGGAAUUUUGGACAAUGGGCGAAAGCCUGAUCCAGCAAUGCCGCGUGAGUGAAGAAGGCCUUCGGGUUGUAAAGCUCUUUUGUCAGGGAAGAAACGGUGAGAGCUAAUAUCUCUUGCUAAUGACGGUACCUGAAGAAUAAGCACCGGCUAACUACGUGCCAGCAGCCGCGGUAAUACGUAGGGUGCAAGCGUUAAUCGGAAUUACUGGGCGUAAGGCGUGCGCAGGCGGUUUUGUAAGUCUGAUGUGAAAUCCCCGGGCUCAACCUGGGAAUUGCAUUGGAGACUGCAAGGCUAGAAUCUGGCAGAGGGGGGUAGAAUUCCACGUGUAGCAGUGAAAUGCGUAGAUAUGUGGAGGAACACCGAUGGCGAAGGCAGCCCCCUGGGUCAAGAUUGACGCUCAUG
rnacentral:rRNA from 1 species